rnacentral:piRNA from 1 species
UCCUACCUUAUCGUGGGAUAUGACCUCCAGU